CGAAUGGAGCUCGGUUGGUUUCUGCUAGUGUUGAGAUGAACGAUAUUAUGGCUAGAGGUCAUGCAGGAAUAGUCAGAUGUACUCUUGGGUGGUAAUUAGUGUGACUAGUGUAAAGGAUCCAUUUAUUAGCAGUACUGAUAGGAGAACAAUGGCGAGUGUGACUUCGUAUGAGAUUGGGCUACAGCUCGUAGGGCUCCAAUUAGGGCGUAUUUGGAAUUUGAAGCUCAUCCUGAUCAUAGGAUAGAGUAGACGGCGAGGCUUGAUAUAGCUAGCAUAAAUAGUACUCCUAGACUUAUGUUAAUAAGUGGAUAUGGUAUGGGUAAGGGGAUUCACAUGGUGAGGUCUAGCGUGAGGGCUAGGAUGGGUGCUAUGAUGAAUAUGAAUAUGGAAGAUGUAAGGGGUCGGAGAGGUUCUUUAGUGAAGAGUUUUACGGCGUCUGCAAUAGGUUGGAGCAGGCUGUAUGGUCCUACAAUGUUUGGUCCUUUGCGGAGUUGUAUAUAUCUUAGUACUUUGCGUCCAACUAGGGUUAGGAAGGCUACGGCAAGGAGAAUGGGGAUAAUGAGUGAGAGGAUGUUGAUUAUGAACAUAUUGUUAGGAAGAGGAAUUGAACCUCUGAUAGUAAAAGUUUAAGUUUUAUGCAAUUACCAGGCUCUGCCACCCUAACAAACCCGAGCUCUAUGGGUGAUGUUGUUGAAUAAACUGUCUAGAUUAAGAUUAUAUCAUCUAUUUGGUUAAAGGCGCUUUGGUAAAGUGGGCCUUAUUUCUCUU
rnacentral:lncRNA from 1 species